AAAACAUCUGUAUUUUGUUUGUGUGUCUGCUGAUGAAGUUCGAGAGUUUUUUGGCGCAUAUGAUUUGAAUCUGAACUUUUGUUUCAAGAGUGUGACUCUCCCUUGGGAGUGUUUUCCGUCAGAGUCAUAAUGAAUAUCCAUAGCUAUUCGAAACGGAUGCUACACAAGGCACUAUUUAGUGUUCUUUCAAGUAAAUAUAGACGUUUAGCUUCCUAUGAUAACAGAUUUGAAAAAGAGGAGACAAAAAGAACUAAUAAAGCUAAAAUAGGACUAGCAGUUGGGAUAGGUUUAAUUUACUAUAAAUUCCUUCACGAGCGAACUAUGUCACUUGAUUUUAGUAAGUUCCUUCAGCAGUUCAGUAUUCAAGUACAUGCUGCAGAAUUAUUUCCUUCGGAUCGUACUGAAGGCGCUAAAAAAGUGACGCCAAGAGGAGCAUACAAUUUUUUAGCUGAUGUUGCGGAGAAAACAUCAGCCGCUGUUGUUUAUAUUGAAAUCACAGCAAGACAUCCAGUAACAAGAAAAAGCAUCCCACUGUCAAAUGGUUCAGGAUUCAUUGUAAAAUCAGAUGGUUUAAUUUUAACUAAUGCUCAUGUGGUUUCACAUUAUGGACGUGUCAUUGUAAAGCUAUAUAAUGGAGAAGAGUAUGAGGGAGUUGUAGAGAAUAUUGAUACAGAAACGGAUCUUGCUACAGUGCGAAUCAAAGCGAAAAAUUUGCCUGUCCUUCCACUUGGCCAGUCAUCCAAGUUGCGACCAGGAGAAUUUGUUAUUGCAAUGGGAAAUCCUUUAACUCUGAGCCACACAAUCACUGCUGGAGUUGUUAGUUCUGUAAAUAGGCAAGGCAAAGAACUGGGUUUACAUAAAAAGUCUGAUUAUAUACAAACUGAUGCUGCUAUUAAUGUUGGGAAUUCUGGUGGUCCAUUAGUAAAUUUGGAUGGUGAAGCUAUUGGCAUUAACACAAUGAAAGUUACCGAAGGGAUAUCAUUUGCCAUUCCUUCCGAUCGUGCUAUAGAUUUUCUGAGACGAACUGAAGACAAACAAAAAGAAUCUUGGAGUCCAUUUGGUAAAUCCCCUGCUGUGACAAUACGACCAAAAUAUUUAGGAAUUACAAUGCUCACAUUAACACCAAGUAUUGUUCAGGAACUUCAAGAACGCAAUUCAGAGUUUCCUGAUGUUCAGCAUGGUGUGAUGGUGUGGAGAGUCAUGUUAGGUUCACCAUCGUAUGAAUCUGGUGUCAGGCCUGGAGAUGUAAUAACAAAUAUAAAUGGAAAAGAAAUUUAUUCUGCAUCUGAUAUUUAUAAGCUUCUUGGAUCUGAAGAUAUUCUUAACAUCCAUAUUGUGAGAAAUAGGGAAGAAUUUGAUAUUACUGUGAGACUUUUUGAUCCUGUAACAUCAUGAAUAGAUUAGACACUGGCUUUAAAUUUUCCUUAGUUGCAAGUACAGCUACCUGUCCAGGUAUUAAACUGCUCGGGACAUACAGUUUUUGGGAAAAGGGAUCCUAGAGUUUCUUGAAGAUAUCCCAAGUAUCAUCUGCAAGAUUUCUACUAUAUUCAGAGCUAAUUUAUAGCAUUUUAAAUUCUCUGUAUUAAUUUUAUUACAUGUUCCUCAGUUUGUAUUUAAAAUAAAGCCUUAGUCAUCUUA